CCUACGGGGGGCUGCAGUGGGGAAUAUUGGGCAAUGGGCGCAAGCCUGACCCAGUAACGCCGCGUGAAGGAAGAAGGCUUUCGGGUUGUAAACUUCUUUUCUGAGGGACGAAGGAAGUGACGGUACCGCAGGAAUAAGCCACGGCUAACUACGUGCCAGCAGCCGCGGUAAUACGGAGGUGGCAAGCGUUAUCCGGAUGUUUUGGGUGUAAAGGGCGUGUAGGCGGGAAAGCAAGUCAGAUGUGAAAACUCAGGGCUCAACCCUGAGCCUGCAUUUGAAACUGUUUUUCUUGAGUGCGGGAGAGGCAAUCGGAAUUCCGGGUGUAGCGGUGAAAUGCGUAGAUAUACGGAGGAACACCAGUGGCGAAGGCGGAUUGCUGGACAGUAACUGACGCUGAGGCGCGAAAGCGUGGGGAGCAAACAGGAUUAGAUACCCUUGUAGUC
rnacentral:rRNA from 1 species